rnacentral:rRNA from 1 species
UACGAACUGUGCAAACGUUAUUCGGAAUCACUGGGCUUAAAGGGUGCGUAGGCGGUCAUUUAAGUAGGGUGUGAAAGCCCCCGGCUCAACCGGGGAACUGCGUCCUAAACUGGGUGACUGGAGUGAGAUAGAGGUGUGUGGAACUUCCAGUAGAGCGGUGAAAUGUGUUGAUAUUGGAAGGAACGCCGGUGGCGAAAGCGACACACUGGGUCUCAACUGACGCUGAGGCACGAAAGCCAGGGGAGCGAACGGG